AGAAGCCACGGAAACAAGCGACUUACAAGCUGAGAAGCGGAGGACAAAAUGGAGUCCCAGCCGUCAACCAGCGCCCUGAGUGUUGCGGCCCCUUUCACGACAUGGCCCUGCCUCUUUACGGUCACGCCGCUAGUAGAAUUAGAUUACAGUCAGAAGUGUAUGUCUUUUCACCAGACUGACCCUCCCCCCACCCCCGGGUAAAAGUCCUGCUCUGAUUUAUCCUGAGGCUCGGCUGGAUAGUCUUCACGCUUUUUACCGGGUUGAAGGCUCCUUGAGGGUCUUGUUCGUCUCUGUUUCUAAAGCCUGGAGCAGAACUUGGCAUGUAUUCGUAAAUUUGCUUUGACAUUCACUUAAUACAAAAAGGAAAGGUAAGGUAAUUUCGUAGCCUGUUGACACAGUUACAAAAAGCAAUAAAAAUUUCAAGAAUCCAGUUUGCACGAGUGCCAUAGGUUUAGCUUCUGUUUUCCAGUCAGUUAAGUGGACACAACCCCUAGUAUUGAAUAUGGCAGAGUUAAGAGUGAAGAGAGACAAUGAUCAUGCAGAUGAUUUGUAAACACCAGGCACAGACAUAUGUAAAGUGCUUAUCUUUUGUUUGGACUUUCACGCUUCUAUAUAUUUGGUUGUUCUUGUAAAAAUCCCAAUUGUGGGGCCUUCUUGGUAUAUCAGAGGCAGAUAGCUCAUAAAUUCCUUGUAUGAAUAAAAAGAAAUGGAUCAAAUAACGAGAUGCCACUACUACACAAUUGUUAAAAUGGCUAAAAUUCAGAACACCGACAACACCAGAGCUGGUGAGGAUGUGGAGCAACAGGAACUCUAAUUUGUUGCUGAUGGGAAUGCAAAACAGUGUAGUCGCUUUGGAACACAGUGUGGCAGUUUCUCACAAAACUAAACAUGCUGUUACUAUACCAUACAGCAAUGGGCGCUCUGCUACUUACGCAAAUGUAUUGGAAACUUAUAUCCACACGAAAACCUGCACAUGGAUGUUUACAGCAGCUUUAUUCAUACUUGCCAAAACUUGAAAGCAAUCAAGAUAUCCUUCAAAAGGUGACUGGAAAAAUAAUGCGGGUAUACCCUGGCAAUGGAACAUCACUCAGCGGUAAAAAGAAAUGAGCUAUCAAGCCACGGAAAGACAUAGAGGAAACGCAAAUGCGUACUACUAAGUGAAAGAAGCAAUCUGAAAUGCUAUGUACUGUAUGAUUCCAACUCUAUGACAUUCUGGAAAAGACAAAACUAUGGAGACAGUGAAAAGACCAUUAGUUGCCAAGGGUUGGAGGCUGGGAGUAAUGAAUAGAUGGAGCACAGAGGACUUCUUAGGGCAGUGAAACUUACACUAUUUGAUACUCUAAUGGUGGAUACAUGCCAUUAUGCAUUUGUCCAAACCCAUAGAAUGUACAACAUCAGGAGUAAACGCUAAUGUAAACUAUGGACUUUGGAUGAUAAUGAUGUUAUAAUGCAGGUUCGUUGACUGUAACAAAAGUUCCACUCUGAUGGGGCAUGUACAUAGUGGGGGAGACUCUGCAGGUGUGGGGCAGCGGGUAUAUGAGAACUUUCCGUACUUCCUGCUCAAUUUUGCUGCGAACCUAAAAUUGCUCUAAAAAAAUAAAGUCUAUUUGAAAGGGGAG